rnacentral:rRNA from 1 species
CGCAGCCUGAUGCGCCAUGCCGCGUGUGUGAAGAAGGCCUUCGGGUUGUAAAGCACUUUCAGUCGUGAGGAAGGUGGUGUAGUUAAUAGCUGCAUUAUUUGACGUUAGCGACAGAAGAAGCACCGGCUAACUCCGUGCCAGCAGCCGCGGUAAUACGGAGGGUGCGAGCGUUAAUCGGAAUUACUGGGCGUAAAGCGCAUGCAGGUGGUUUGUUAAGUCAGAUGUGAAAGCCCGGGGCUCAACCUCGGAAUAGCAUUUGAAACUGGCAGACUAGAGUACUGUAGAGGGGGGUAGAAUUUCAGGUGUAGCGGUGAAAUGCGUAGAGAUCUGAAGGAAUACCGGUGGCGAAGGCGGCCCCCUGGACAGAUACUGACACUCAGAUGCGAAAGCGUGGGGAGCAAACAGGAUUAGAUACCCUGGUAGUCCACGCCGUAAACGAUGUCUACUUGGAGGUUGUGGCCUUGAGCCGUGGCUUUCGGAGCUAACGCGUUAAGUAGACCGCCUGGGGAGUACGGUCGCAAGAUUAAAACUCAAAUGAAUUGACGGGGGCCCGCACAAGCGGUGGAGCAUGUGGUUUAAUUCGAUGCAACGCGAAGAACCUUACCUACUCUUGACAUCCAGAGAACUUUCCAGAGAUGGAUUGGUGCCUUCGGGAACUCUGAGACAGGUGCUGCAUGGCUGUCGUCAGCUCGUGUUGUGAAAUGUUGGGUUAAGUCCCGCAACGAGCGCAACCCUUAUCCUUGUUUGCCAGCGAGUAAUGUCGGGAACUCCAGGGAGACUGCCGGUGAUAAACCGGAGGAAGGUGGGGACGACGUCAAGUCAUCAUGGCCCUUACGAGUAGGGCUACACACGUGCUACAAUGGCGCAUACAGAGGGCAGCCAACUUGCGAAAGUGAGCGAAUCCCAAAAAGUGCGUCGUAGUCCGGAUUGGAGUCUGCAACUCGACUCCAUGAAGUCGGAAUCGCUAGUAAUCGUGGAUCAGAAUGCCACGGUGAAUACGUUCCCGGGCCUUGUACACACCGCCCGUCACACCAUGGGAGUGGGCUGCAAAAGAAGUAGGUAGUUUAACCUUCGGGGGGACGCUUACCACUUUGUGGUUCAUGACUGGGUGAUC